GACGAACCGUCCUAACGUUGUUCGGAAUCACUGGGCUUAAAGGGCGCGUAGGCGGGUUCGUAAGUCUGUGGUGAAAGCCCCCAGCUUAACUGGGGAAGUGCCAUGGAUACUGCGAGUCUUGAGGAGGGUAGGGGCAUCUGGAACACUGGGUGGAGCGGUGAAAUGCGUUGAUAUCCAGUGGAACUCCGGUGGCGAAGGCGAGGUGCUGGACCCUUUCUGACGCUGAUGCGCGAAAGCCAGGGGAGCAAACGGG
rnacentral:rRNA from 1 species